rnacentral:lncRNA from 1 species
CUGCUUUCCCAGCUGGCUGGACAGGAAGCCCUGGCCCCCACCUUCCUUUCCUUGGAGACCAUGGUGUCCCUGCUGGGGAGGCUUCUCCACACCGGAGCCUGCUUCCACGGCUUACUAGCUGUGUGUCCCUCGGUGUCCGCCCUGCAAAGUGGGGAUGGCAGGUAGCACCCCCACGUCACCCACGGUGCUGGGAUGUGUCCGGUGACCUCCUCACCCUUCUCCGGCUGCUCCUCCCCUCCUAGCCUGACUCCUCUCUAGCCUGCCACAGGCCUUGGCUUCCCCAGCCCAGGGCCGGCCCUGGUAUUUGGGGUGGGAUAGGCCAUACGUUCUGGGGGGUGGUGCGCACUGGUUCCAGGCAGCCCCUGGGGAGUAGGCAGGGAGCCCCACAGGGUGCUUCUGGGUCACAGAUCCUCCAGGACCCUGGUCAGGCCUCCAGGGUAUGGACCCAGGAUCUCGGCAGCCUCCACUCCCAAGAGUGCCAGGAAGCCUGUCCUCCCCCCUCAUGCUGCUUCCACCUGGAUGGGAAGGGGUUACUCAGCUCCAGGGCUGCCCACUGCAGGCCGCAGCUGCCUGGGGCCUGUGGUCAGGGCUAAUGUAGGCAGGAGUUGGAGGACAAGAGGGGAUGAAGUUAUUAGCAUUCUCAUGUUUGAGGGAUAUUGAUUGUCAGGUCUUCAGGCCCCUGGGUCUCGCAACGGGGCACACGGGAGUGUUAGAGGGACACAGGAAGUGUCACAGAGGCCCCACCCCGUACCCGGGAGUGACUGGGGCUGCCCAGGUCAGCUCAAAGGGAGACACGGAGGGACGCAGCUUGGGGGGCCAGGGACCCGGGGCGGGGAGGGGCUGGGCUCGGUGCCCUGGGCCUGGGGCAGACUGGAAAGGGCUUGGUUUCGUCCCUGCACUUUGCAUAAGGUGUGAGGGUCUGUGAGUGUGUGUGUGACACAGACCUCGCAGCUGAGCCGGAGCCCGUCAAGGGGGCAACCAAAGGGGACAAGGAGGAGUCCCCAGCCUGAGGCCCACAGGACCCCGCUGAUUUCCGACCUCGCGCGGAGGCAGGCUGCGCCCAGACGGGAUUCGGGGCGAUACCGCCCCGCGUCGCAAGGGGGCGCUGGGGAGCCUAGCAAGGAGGAGGGGCCGGAGCGCUCCUGGGCUGGGUCAGGAGCCCGCUCCUUCGCCCCAGAGGAGCUGGCUUCCCCUCCGCAGGGUGGAAGAGGAGGGUCUGGCUCUGUAGUUUAGGCUGACCUCAAACCCUCCAGCCUCCUGCCUCAGCCUCCUGAGUGCUGGGACUUCAGACACACGCAGCACAACCAGCUCCAGCGGGGCGUUCCUGCUCCUCAGGGCCAAGGCGCAGGCUGUGUCGGGGCGUCCGCAGCCUGAGCCCUGGAGUCAGCAGACCUGCUCACUGCACGGACGCCUGCUCAACGCGAGUGAACGGGGACAAGGACGGAC